rnacentral:rRNA from 1 species
AACGCUGGCGGCGUGCUUAACACAUGCAAGUCGUGCGAGAAAGUGGCUUCGGCCAUGAGUAAAGCGGCGAACGGGUGAGUAACACGUGGAUAACCUACCUCGGAUGGGGGAUAACUCGGGGAAACCUGGGCUAAUACCGCAUGUGCUCACAGGGCCUCGGCCCUGUGUGGAAAGGUGGCCUCUGCUUGCAUGCUACCGCUCCUGGAGGGGUCCGCGCCCGAUUAGCUUGUUGGUGAGGUAAUGGCUCACCAAGGCGACGAUCGGUAGCCGGCCUGAGAGGGCGAUCGGCCACACUGGAACUGAGACACGGUCCAGACUCCUACGGGAGGCAGCAGUGGGGAAUAUUGCGCAAUGGGCGAAAGCCUGACGCAGCAACGCCGCGUGGAGGAUGAAGGUCUUCGGGUCGUAAACUCCUGUCAGGUGGGACGAAAAGGUGUCGGUGAAUAUCCGGCGCUCAUGACGGUACCACCAGAGGAAGCCCCGGCUAACUCCGUG